rnacentral:rRNA from 1 species
AUACGUAGGGGGCGAGCGUUGUCCGGAAUUAUUGGGCGUAAAGGGUUCGCAGGCGGCCUUUUAAGUCAGAUGUGAAAUCCCACGGCUUAACCGUGGUAAGCAUUUGAAACUGGAAGGCUUGAGUUAAGGAGAGGAAAGUGGAAUUCCUAGUGUAGCGGUGAAAUGCGUAGAUAUUAGGAGGAAUACCAGUGGCGAAGGCGACUUUCUGGACUUAUACUGACGCUGAGGAACGAAAGCGUGGGGAGCAAACAGGAUUAGAUACCCUGGUAGUCCACGCCGUAAACGAUGAGUGCUAGGUGUUGGGGGUCAAACCUCGGUGCCGCAGCUAACGCAUUAAGCACUCCGCCUGGGGAGUACGUACGCAAGUAUGAA